CCGUUGCUGGCGCGGGGGCUCACCUUGCUACAAACUGGGGGCAGAGUAUCCCGGUGAUCGGUGCAUCGGCGGCGGUC
rnacentral:tRNA from 1 species